rnacentral:rRNA from 1 species
GAUGAACGCUAGCGACAGGCUUAACACAUGCAAGUCGAGGGGCAGCGGGGGAGCAGCAAUGCUCCCGCCGGCGACCGGCGCACGGGUGAGUAACACGUAUGGAACCUGCCCGCAGCAGGGGGAUAAGCGGAAGAAAUUCCGUCUAAUACCGCGUAACACCGCGGAGGGGCAUCCCUCGGCGGUUAAAGAGUCAUCGGCUGCGGAUGGCCAUGCGGCGCAUUAGCUAGUCGGCGGGGUAACGGCCCACCGAGGCGACGAUGCGUAGGGGUUCUGAGAGGAAGGUCCCCCACACUGGUACUGAGACACGGACCAG